rfam:Dendroctonus ponderosae Seq01033650, whole genome shotgun sequence.
GGAGGCUUUGAUGGUUUACAGGCCCGUAGGUGUGUGGGGCAAGAUCGUGGGCUCGCUCUGUGCGAUAGCGGGCGUGCUCACCAUUGCGCUUCCCGUGCCCGUCAUCGUCUCCAAC